AGAGUUUGAUCAUGGCUCAGGAUUAACGCUGGCGGCGUGCCUAAUACAUGCAAGUCGAAUGGUAGCAAUACCAUGGCGAACGGGUGAGUAACACGUAGGUAACCUGUCUUUAAGCCGAGGAUAACCAUUGGAAACGAUGGAUAAUACUGGAUAGGACAUUUGAAGGCAUCUUUAGAUGUUUAAAGAUUUAUCACUUAGAGAGGGGCCUGCGGCGCAUUAGCUAGUUGGUGAGGUGAAGGCUUACCAAGGCGAUGAUGCGUAGCCGGACUGAGAGGUUGAACGGCCACAAUGGAACUGAGAACGGUCCAUACUCCUACGGGAGGCAGCAGUAGGGAAUUUUCGGCAAUGGGCGGAAGCCUGACCGAAGCAACGCCGCGUGAACGAAGAAGUAUUUCGGUAUGUAAAGUUCUUUUAUUAGGGAUGAAAAGACAGAUUGACGGUACCUAAUGAAUAAGCUCCGGCUAACUACGUGCCAGCAGCCGC
rnacentral:rRNA from 1 species